UAAGUAGAGCGGCAAACGGGUGAGUAACACGUGGGUGACCUGCCUUCGAGUGGGGGAUAACCUUCCGAAAGGAGGGCUAAUACCGCAUGACAUACCGUGUUUGGAUACACGGAUAUCAAAGCCGGGGAUCGCAAGACCUGGCGCUUGGAGAGGGGCCCGCGUCCGAUUAGCUAGUUGGUGAGGUAACGGCUCACCAAGGCUCCGAUCGGUAUCCGGCCUGAGAGGGCGGACGGACACACUGGAACUGAGACACGGUCCAGACUCCUACGGGAGGCAGCAGUGGGGAAUUGUUCGCAAUGGGCGAAAGCCUGACGACGCAACGCCGCGUGGAGGAUGAAGAAUUUCGGUUCGUAAACUCCUUUCGACCGAGAUGAAUACCCAUGGACCCAACACGUCUGUGGGCUGACAGUAUCGAGAGAAGAAGCCCCGGCUAACUCUGUGCCAGCAGCCGCGGUAAUACAGGGGGGGGCAAGCGUUGUUCGGAAUUACUGGGCGUAAAGGGUUCGUAUGUGGGCACUUAAGUCAGACGUGAAAUCCCUCAGCUUAACUGGGGAACUGCGUCUGAUACUGAGUGGCUUGAGUGCAGGAGAGGAA
rnacentral:rRNA from 1 species